UACGGAGGGUGCGAGCGUUGUUCGGAAUUAUUGGGCGUAAAGCGCGUGUAGGCGGUUGUUUAAGUCUGAUGUGAAAGCCCCGGGCUUAACUUGGGAAGUGCAUUGGAAACUGGGCAACUGGAGUACGGGAGAGGGUAGUGGAAUUCCGAGUGUAGGGGUGAGAUCCGUAGAUAUUCGGAGGAACACCGGUGGCGAAGGCGGCUACCUGGACCGAUACUGACGCUGAGACGCGAAAGCGUGGGGAGCAAACAGGAUUAGAUACCCGCGUAGUCCCUGAGCGGGCUGG
rnacentral:rRNA from 1 species